ACUCAAAUGACUUAUUCAUGAACAGUAAUAUGCAAUAAAAAAAAAAAAGAGAGAGAGAAAUAAUACAUAUUCAUCCGACAUAGAAGGAGAGGAAUCUGCAUUAACAGCUUCAAUUAGACAAUUCGAAAGUUUUAUCCGAUGACUCCAUUUUGCCAUUCUGUAUCGAAAAAAUCUCCUAAUAUCAUCUAUAGUCUUCUCGAAAGAGGAUAAAAGAGGGCCUUAGACCAAGAAUAGUCUCUUUCCUUUUAUAUAAAUAAAUAAAAUUAGAAAGAGUUCAGAAAUUUUGGGAUGAUAUUGGCUAUGAUAAUAAUAAAAAGACUCACUUUCUAAAGCAAAGCUUUCUAUCCUCCUUUAGGCUAUCAACGAAGCUUUAAUAACCAAGAGGUCUUGGCUUUUAUUACAUGCAUACCAUUAUUUAUUUGAAGUUUGAUAACUAAGAGGUCAUUGCUAGCUUUUAUUACAUGCAUACCACUAUUUUGUAUUUGGGAGGUGAGAGAGGAGCAGUUUUGGGAGAUGAGAAGGUAGUAGUUUUGGGGAUUCAUUUAGUUUUAUUUCUUUUAUUAUGUUAUAUGCAUGGAGUUACAUGCUUAUAUAUUUAUAUUUCAAAACAGUUUUGGGAAAUGAAGAGGUAGUAGUUUUGGGAUUCAUAUAGUUUUUUUUUUUUAUAAAACUUUUAUUAUGUUAUAUGUAUGGAGUUACAUGUAUAUAUAUAUAUAUUUAUAUUUCAAACCAUUAUUAAAAACUUUUAUUAUGUUAUAUGCAUGGAGUGACAUGCAUAUAUAUAUUUAUAUUUCAAAUCAUCAUUAAAAAAUAUGAAAAAUCUAAAAAAAGGAGAGCUUGCCAUGUCAUCAUUCUUAUUGGGGAUUCAUAUAGAGUUAUAGAUUAAUUGAAUAGUAUGAUCUAACGGAUGAAAAUGAUCAAAGGGGUAGAUCUAACGGUAGAAAACUCGAUAUCACCAACGCUUGGUAUUAUCGAUAGUAUAGUAACCGAACUCUAUGGGUGUGUUUGGUUCGAAGUCGGAGUCGGAAUCGGAAUCGGAAUCGAAAUAAGCUGGAAUCGAAAUCGGAAUGACUCAUUACCUAAUUCUGUUUGGUUCAUCACCUGAAUCGGAAUCGGAAUAAAUCAUUCCUAUUAUCAGUGUUUGGUUUAAGUGGAUAUAAAAACAUAAUCAAAUUAAUAUACU
rnacentral:lncRNA from 1 species